rnacentral:lncRNA from 1 species
GGGAGGCUGGCUGCGAGUGGAGUGGCAACGGGGAGAUGACUGGGCUGGGAGUGACGGGUGGCAGGGAGGGUGGUGGCGCGCGGGAUAAAUAGGCGGAGACUCGAAGGAGCGCGGCGCACGGGCCCGACCGGCUUUGGGCUACGCGGUCACAUGGUGAGGGUGUGUCACGUCUCGUCGCGCGUAGGCCUGUGGCGCCCGGCGAGCGGGCGCUGUAGCGUGCCGUUGGAGCGGUAGGUGCGGCCGGACGGAGGAGGAGGACGGAGCCAGGAAGGCGAGGUCGCGCGCGCUGGGGUCCGGGGGGGUGUCGGGAGCCGUUGCGGCUGCGAGUGUCGGCGGGGUUUCCGGGCCG